GAGAGCUUGCCAACCAACCAGGCCUGGAAAAGCUAAGGAGCUGGAGGAGGCAGGCGGUGUUGGGAGCACUCCUUCAGCAAGAUGCUCCUACCUGUCCGGACGCAGUCCAAGAAUGGAGUCGUGUGAGAAUUCUGAGGGCUUGUGAGAGAACUCUAAAGGCAAGAGGCUGUGAUCUCCAGUUUCUUCGAAACAUGGAAUUGUUUCUGAAACCUGCCUUCACGCUGCUCUCCCAGGUGCAGCUGACAGGCUUGGGCUUACUUUAGCUGUUGUUUCCAAAUGAACUCCACGGAAAACAUGUUUUGGCACGUGUGGCUUG